ensembl:lncRNA
ACACUGCGCACAGACAAGAAAGGAAAUACAUUUUUCGGAGUUGUGAAACUUUCUAUUUCGUAAGGAGUUAUGAACGUGAAAUAAUGACACAGACUGGCUACACAAUCUCAUCUGCCGCAGAUACUGUAUCAGGAGGACAGCGCGUUUGUUUGAGGCACUUUUCACUUCAACUGUGUCUGACAGGAUAAUUAGCUUUCUGAGCCUACUAGCCUUGAGAGUUACCAUGGCAACCCCGGACACAUCAGCUGGUGGAGAGGAGAGGAGUGUCUAAAAAACCCUCUAAAACAGAGGGGAAGUUCCAAGAAAAUUUCUAAUGGGAGCUGCUGACAGAGAUUUAGAAAACACAGUUUGUUUAUUUCUAAUAAGGAGUUGGAGGCUGUGGAGAAGCAGAUCCUUGACCUCGUGGGGAAGCAGGCUCAGCUGAGAGAGCGGAGAGCCGUGCUGGAAACAUUCAGGGGUUGAUGCUCAUAAGUCCGGGAUACCCAUGAUCCUUAAGGGUGAAGAGAGCAUCGGAGCGGUCGUGCUUCACGCCGGGGUUAAUGACACCAAGCUGCGGCAGACGCAGACACUAAAGAGGGACUUCAGGAGCCUGAUCGAGACGGUGCGCAGCAUAUCGCCUGCACGAUGAUCAUGUCAGGACCGCUUCACCAUGUAUAGAUGAGGACACGAAAGGUUCAGUAGACUUUUUGCUUUAAAUGAAUGGUUAUUGUCAUGGUGUAAAGAACAGAAACUGCUUUUUGUUAACAUUUGGAAUCUGUUCUGGGAGCGUCCUAGGCUUUUUAGUGCUGAUGGCCUGCACCCCAGCAGAGUCGGAGCAGAACUUCUCUCGGACAACAUCUCCAGGACUCUACGCUCCAUAUGACUAGGCAGUUUGUGAAGACAGAUAAUCAAGAGAUGUGACAAACUGUACAGAAGUCAGUUCCAGAUCCACCCUCUACACCAGACCUCUCUCUCAUAUGGAUUGCUGUCUACUAGCAUAUUGUUUUCUCUUCAGACUUCGGUGGAUGCAGAUAUUACUCAGGGACAUGAAUACUUGAAUAUUGCAAGAAUAGAGAAAGUAAGAAUUACAUAAGAUUUAAGAAUUUAAUGUUAAUUGCUUAAACUAUAUAUUAUACAUACAGUACAGACCAAAAAUACCGAAAAAAAACAGUAAUAUUGUGAAAUAUUAUUACAACUUAAAAUAAUAGUUUUCUAUUUGAAUAUACUUAAAAAAAAAAAAAAAUUAUUCCUGUGAUGCAAAGCUGAAUUUUCAGCAUCAUUACUCCAGCCUUCAGUGUCACAUGUAACAUCCAGUCUAUCACAUGAUCAUUUAGAAAUCAUUCUAAUAUUCUGAUUUAUUAUGAGUGCUGGAAACAGUUCUGCUGUCUAAUAUAUUUGAUGAAUAAAAGGUUAAAAAGAACUGCAUUUAUUAAAAAAAAUAAAAUAAAAAAUUCUAAUAUAUAUUCUAAUAAUAUAUUUUAUUUACUAU